UACGUAGGGUGCAAGCGUUAAUCGGAAUUACUGGGCGUAAAGCGUGCGCAGGCGGUUUUGUAAGUUUGUCGUGAAAUCCCCGGGCUUAACCUGGGAAUUGCGAUGAAGACUGCAAGGCUGGAGUCUGGCAGAGGGGGGUAGAAUUCCACGUGUAGCAGUGAAAUGCGUAGAGAUGUGGAGGAACACCGAUGGCGAAGGCAGCCCCCUGGGUCAAGACUGACGCUCAUGCACGAAAGCGUGGGGAGCAAACAGG
rnacentral:rRNA from 1 species